rnacentral:lncRNA from 1 species
CUCGACAACAAGGGACUACAGAAUUCAACUGCAGGUUUUGUAAUUCCUCAUCUCUUGCUUUAGCUACUAGACUAGAGAAUCAUAGGGAAGAAGUCCUGGAAGAAGCACAUUUCCCUCACUGCCUUUGGAAUGAAGGUCACACUUCUGGAUCAGAGCAUCCAGGAGACCACAGAAUCUACAGAACUGCACACAGAGCAAUGCAGGCAGA